AACGAACGCUGGCGGCAUGCCUAACACAUGCAAGUCGAACGAAGGCUUCGGCCUUAGUGGCGCACGGGUGCGUAACGCGUGGGGAUCUGCCCUUUGCUUCGGAAUAACAGUUAGAAAUGACUGCUAAUACCGGAUGAUGUCGUAAGACCAAAGAUUUAUCGGCAAAGGAUGAACCCGCGUAGGAUUAGCUAGUUGGUGGGGUAAAGGCCUACCAAGGCGACGAUCCUUAGCUGGUCUGAGAGGAUGAUCAGCCACACUGGGACUGAGACACGGCCCAGAGUCCUACGGGAGGCAGCAGUGGGGAAUAUUGGACAAUGGGCGAAAGCCUGAUCCAGCAAUGCCGCGAGAGUGAUGAAGGCCUUCGGGUUGUAAAGCUCUUUUACCAGGGAUGAUAAUGACAGUACCUGGAGAAUAAGCUCCGGCUAACUCCGUGCCAGCAGCCGCGGUAACAC
rnacentral:rRNA from 1 species